GACAGAGGGUGCAAACGUUGUUCGGAAUUACUGGGCGUAAAGCGCGUGUAGGCGGCCCUGCAAGUCGGAUGUGAAAUCCCACGGCUCAACCGUGGAAGUGCAUUCGAAACUGCAGGGCUAGAGUCCUGGAGAGGAAGGUGGAAUGCUUGGUGUAGAGGUGAAAUUCGUAGAUAUCAAGCGGAACACCGGUGGCGAAGGCGGCCUUCUGGACAGUGACUGACGCUGAGGCACGCAGGCCAGGGGAGCAAACGGG
rnacentral:rRNA from 1 species